CCAGACUCCUACGGGAGGCAGCAGUGGGGAAUAUUGCACAAUGGGCGAAAGCCUGAUGCAGCGACGCCGCGUGAGGGAUGACGGCCUUCGGGUUGUAAACCUCUUUCAGCAGGGAAGAAGCGAAAGUGACGGUACCUGCAGAAGAAGCGCCGGCUAACUACGUGCCAGCAGCCGCGGUAAUACGUAGGGCGCAAGCGUUGUCCGGAAUUAUUGGGCGUAAAGAGCUCGUAGGCGGUCUGUCACGUCGGAUGUGAAAGCCCGGGGCUUAACCCCGGGUCUGCAUUCGAUACGGGCAGACUAGAGUGUGGUAGGGGAGAUCGGAAUUCCUGGUGUAGCGGUGAAAUGCGCAGAUAUCAGGAGGAACACCGGUGGCGAAGGCGGAUCUCUGGGCCAUUACUGACGCUGAGGAGCGAAAGCGUGGGGAGCGAACAGGAUUAGAUACCCUGGUAGUCCACGCCGUAAACGGUGGGAACUAGGUGUUGGCGACAUUCCACGUCGUCGGUGCCGCAGCUAACGCAUUAAGUUCCCCGCCUGGGGAGUACGGCCGCAAGGCUAAAACUCAAAGGAAUUGACGGGGGCCCGCACAAGCAGCGGAGCAUGUGGCUUAAUUCGACGCAACGCGAAGAACCUUACCAAGGCUUGACAUCGCCC
rnacentral:rRNA from 1 species